GCUUUAGCAUAGAGCAGAGUCUGCUCCUUAAUGCAUCCCUGGAUCAUAGCGGACUCUGCCUAUAGAGGCCUGGGGUCCCUUUGGCAGCACUUUUGUCAAGAAAGUAGAGUCGUGGACAACCAACUGCACAGGUUGGGAGGAAAACUUACAGCCUCCAUCACUCUUCAGGAGAGUGGCAGUCAAGGAGUAAGACUCAAGCAAAGAGAGCCAGUGCUCAGUGGGGUGUGAGAUGCCAAAUGACCAGACUCUCCAGGGUUCAGCAGCGUGACUAUAAAGAGAAGAAUGCUUUCAAAGAAUUCAAAAAGGCAGGGAUAGAAAAGUAAGCAAAGAGGUUAAAUUUACAUCACAUGUUAAAUCCCCUUGUGAUCCUUUUAGGAAGCUGGAAUCGAAGAUGAAGGUGAGAUGUAAAGAUGAGCAUUGUCACUUCUGCUUUGUUGCCCCUCCCUCUGCUUCCUCAGUUUCUCUGACUGGUCUUCAG
ensembl:lincRNA